UUAUAUCCAACUGACUGAUUAAUUUCUUAUAACGUACUCUAUUUUUCUUUGCCAAAUAAGCCAGCAAACGUUGACGUUUUCCCAAAAGUCUUCGUAGACCUCUUUCCGAUGAAAAAUCUUUUUUGUGUAAUUCCAAAUGUGAAGCAAGUCUCCGUAUCUUAUUGGUGAAACUGAAUACUUGAAAUUCAACAGAACCCCUGUUUUCUUGUUUUUCUUCUUUAACCAUAAAUCAAAAAAAAUUUCUACCUCCUUUCUUUUUCAUGUAUUUUUUCUGCGCGUUAGGCUCGGAUGGUUGUACGGGAGGACACGAGGAUUAGACUGAUUCGGGAAUGAAUAGCCCUACGUCCAGUGUGGGUGGAUGUUCGUGUUACUCGUACCAAGUUUGUAGUAGGGGCUACAAACGGACGAGAGAGGGAAGCUCCCAGGUCUCUGUGGGUGUUUGCCGAUGCUCAAAGUGUCUUGAGCGCUAGGGUUCUACGAGAGCUAUUGUGUGCGUUCGGUGUUGUUCUGUCGUUCGGGUCCCUCCCCUCAGGCCCCCUGGUCCCCCUUUUAUAGUGUAAGGAGGACACACUUGCUUCGAGGGGUCGGGCGUGUCCAACUCCUUGCGCCCGGGGUCGGGUGAGGUGGAAACUUGCUUCGAGGGGUUGGGCGCCCGACCCCUUGCGCCUGGGGUUGGGCGAGGUGGAAACUUGCUUCGAGGGGUCGGGCGCGUCCGGCCCCUUGCGCCUGGGGUCGGGCGAGGUGGAGCGAGGUACCUCCGGGGUGUGUUUUGGUUGGUGGAGAUUAUGGGUGCUAGUGGUGGGUCCUGGCCCUUACGACCGUUGAUUAGGGAGCAUAAGGAGGUCAUUAAUAUUUCUCCCCGACAGAUUUCCAAAACCGGAACUUCCAAUUUUGGCUCGGGCAGAGAAGACCCCCAAACCUAUGAGGUGAAACUGAG
rnacentral:lncRNA from 1 species